rnacentral:rRNA from 1 species
CCUACGGGUGGCUGCAGUCGAGAAUCAUUCACAAUGGGGGAAACCCUGAUGGUGCGACGCCGCGUGGGGGAAUGAAGGUCUUCGGAUUGUAAACCUCUUUUGUCAGGGAGCAAAGGGCGCCACGUGUGGCGUUUUGCGAGUACCUGAAGAAAAAGCAUCGGCUAACUCCGUGCCAGCAGCCGCGGUAAUACGGAGGAUGCGAGCGUUAUCCGGAUUUAUUGGGUUUAAAGGGUGCGUAGGCGGGCUGUUAAGUCAGCGGUAAAAGCCCGGGGCUCAACCCCGGCGAGCCGUUGAAACUGGCUGUCUUGAGAUGUCGAGAGGUAUGCGGAAUGCGCAGUGUAGCGGUGAAAUGCUUAGAUAUUGCGCAGAACUCCGAUUGCGAAGGCAGCAUACCGGCGGCGAUCUGACGCUGAGGCACGAAAGCGUGGGUAUCGAACAGGAUUAGAUACCCCUGUAGUC